GGAACCAUAGCGUAGUUGGUGAACGCGUCGGCAUACACAGCCUAAGAUCGCUGGUUUAAAUCUAGCCGAUACCC
rnacentral:tRNA from 1 species